rnacentral:tRNA from 1 species
UAAACUUUAGCUUAUGAAGAGCGGUUAGCUGUUAACUAAUUGGUGUAGAGUUGUCUACAAGUUUAG